GACGAACGCUGGCGGCGUGCUUAACACAUGCCAGUCGAACGCUGAAGCCCUGGCUUUUGUUGGGUUGGGUGAGUGGCGAACGGGUGAGUAACACGUGAGUAACCUGCCCUCUUCUUUGGGAUAACGCCCGGAAACGGGUGCUAAUACUGGAUAUUCACUGAUCUUCGCAUGGGGGUUGGUGGAAAGGUUUUUUCUGGUGGGGGAUGGGCUCUCGGCCUAUCAGCUUGUUGGUGGGGUGAUGGCCUACCAGGGCUUUGGCGGGUCGCCGGCCGGAGAGGGUGACCGGUGACAUUGGGACUGAGAUACGGCCCAGACUGCUGCGGGAGUCAGCAGUGGGGAAUAUUGCACAAUGGGCGAAAGCCUGAUGCAGCGGCGCGGCGUGAGGGAUGGAGGCCUUCGGGUUGUAAACCUCUUGCGAUAAUGGUCAAGCCGUAACUGUGGGUUGUGGUGAGGGUAGUGGGUAAAGAAGCGCCGGCUAACUACGUG
rnacentral:rRNA from 1 species